AUAUAAUUCCAAAAUAACAAAAAAAAAUUCAGAGAAAAAAAAUUUUUUUUUUCGACAAUAAAAUAUGAAAAUGGCGAGAAAAAGAAAGGGAGAAAAAUUAAAAAUUAAAAAAAAAAUUAAAAUUCUCGCACAGCCAUUGUCUCGCCUUAUGUAUGCAAUGUAUAUAUAUAAAUAUAAAGUAGUGAUUAUUAUAUAUAAAUAUAUUUAAUAAUAAAAGAAAAAUAAAAAAAAAUUGUGGUGAAAACAAAUGGAGAUGAUAGGAAAAAAAACAGAAGCGAGAAUAGAUACAAAAAAAUAUAUAUUGAGUUUUCCGAGCCAGCAAAAUUUGAAUCGCAUAUCAAAAAGCAAAAAAAAAGAAAGAAAUACAAACUAGUUAUUACAUUCCCAAUAUUGAUUUGGAAGGAAAGAAAAAAUUUUUUUCUUCAAAAUAAUAAUUUUUAUUUUUGAAAGUGAACACGGUUGAAACUUUUCUUUAUUUUUGUUUGGAAUUUUAUUUAAAAAAAUAAGGUCUUUAAUUUAAAAAACAGAAUUUUCAUGAAGCAACAAAUUUUUUAUUUUAAAACUUUUAUUUUUAUUUAAAAUUAAUAAAUACACAACACAAUUAUUAUUAAACAAUUUUCAUCUUACGAACGGUUAACUGAACUUUUGGCUUUCCCAUGACAUAUGAAAAUUGUUGGGGAUUUACUCGAGGACAUUUCACACAUUUAUUUAGAACUUUUUGAAGUUCAUCAUCAUCUGUCAAAGUCUAUUUAUCUAAAUUUGGUUAUUCAGAAUUAACCAUAUUUUGUACCACUGACUACUGAUCAACACAAUUCUUUGAAAGAUUUAGACAAGUAAUUGGGAUUUUUAUUCAGAAGUAAUUUGUCGGAAUUGAAAUUCACUUGAUCAGUAGUUGUUUAGCUUUUUUGACCUGGUUGACUGUAGUAAAGUUCCUAUUGCAUGGAUCAGGAAAUACAGUUAGUAGUUCUUAGAAGCCGAAUAAUAGGUUUUUUGUACAAGUCACAUAUCUGCUUGAUAAGGGAAAUAAGAGUCAUCUGCCUCCUUUUAAAAAAGCUUCUCCUAAAGCAGGUACAUGACCUACUAAUUGGGAAAAUUUAUUUAAAUCCUAGGGUGUUAUUCUUUCAUCCAUUUUUACGAAUGUAAAACCGUAUGACACCCAAUCUUCAUCUAAUUUUGAUUUCAUAUUUAAGAAAAAAUAAAACAUCAUUUAACGUAAGGACCUUAAAUGUGUUUAUAUUCAUUUUUGGUUUAUUUGAUUCUUUUUAUAAAGAUCAUCUUCUUGACAUUUAUUCCUCUAUCUAUCUGAUUGUAGAAGUGUACCAACAGCAUGGAUUAGGAAAUACAGUAAGUGGUUUUUUACUGCUGAAUAAUAGGUCUUCUGAACCAAUUCAAAAUCAGACUGGUAUGGAAAGUAGGAAUAUGGUCUGACGACUUUCUCAUUCGCAGAUGUUUCACUCUCUGUCACUGCUAUUAAUUUUUUGGCAAUUCCUUUCAUUAAAAAUGUUAUUGUCAUUGUGACAAGAAUAGACCUGGUUGAUUGUAGUAGUGUUCCUACAGCAUGGAUUAGGAAGUAUAUAUAGUUAGUGGUUCUUCACUGAUGAAAGGUUUAAUUGACUAUGUUAAACUUACUUAAAUGUUUAGCAUUUUUAGACCUGGUUGACUGUAGUUGUAUGCCAACAGCAUAGAUUAGGAAGUAUAGUUGAUGGUUUUUAAAUGCAGAGUAAUAUGUUUUUUUACUAGUUAAAUGUCAGAUUGAUACGGAAAGUAUGAUGAGAAAUAUUGUAUGACGACUUUUUCAUUCGCAAAUGUUUCACUCCCUGUCACUGCUAAUAAUUUUUUGGCAAUUCCUUUCAUUGAAAAUGUUCAUGUCAUUCUGACAAGAAUAGACCUGGUUGAUUGUAGUAGUGUUCCUACAGCAUGGAUUAGGAAGUAUAUAUAGUUAGUGGUUCUUCACUGAUGAAAGGUUUAAUUGACUAUGUUAAACUUACUUAAAUGUUUAGCAUUUUUAGACCUGGUUGACUGUAGUUGUAUGCCAACAGCAUAGAUUAGGAAGUAAAGUUGAUGGUUUUCAAAUGCAGAGUAAUAGGUCUUUUGAACAAAUUCAAAAUCAGACUGAUAUGGAAAGUAGGAAAAUGGUAUGACGACUUUUUCAUUCACAAAUGUUUCACUCCCUGUCACUGCUAAUAAUUUUUUGGCAAUUCCUUUCAUUGAAAAUGUUCAUGUCAUUCUGACAAGAAUAGACCUGGUUGAUUGUAGUAGUGUUCCUACAGCAUGGAUUAGGAAGUAUAUAUAGUUAGUGGUUCUUCACUGAUGAAAGGUUUAAUUGACUAUGUUAAACUUACUUAAAUGUUUAGCAUUUUUAGACCUGGUUGACUGUAGUUGUAUGCCAACAGCAUAGAUUAGGAAGUAUAGUUGAUGGUUAUAAAUGCAGAGUAAUAUGUUUUUUUUACUAGUUAAAUGUCAGAUUGAUACGGAAAGUAUGAUGAGAAACAUUGUAUGACGACUUUUUCAUUCGCAAAUGUUUCACUCCCUGUCACUGCUAAUAAUUUUUUGGCAAUUCCUUUCAUUAAAAAUGUUCUUGUCAUUGUGACAUAAUGCGAGAAUGCAUAUGCCAUGAUCUUAGCAUUGACGGUUUUAUUGACUACGUUAAUCAUACAUAAAUGUUUAGCAUUUUUAGACCUGGUUGACUGUAGUUGUAUGUCAACAGCAUGGAUUAGGAAGUAUAGAUAGUUAGUGGUUCUUCACUAAUGACAGAUUUUAUUGACUAAGAUAAUCAUAGUUAAAUGUUUAGCAUUUUUAGACCUGGUUGACUGUAGUUGUAUGUCAACAGCAUGGAUUAGGAAGUAUAGAUAGUUAGUGGUUCUUCACUAAUGACAGAUUUUAUUGACUAAGAUAAUCAUAGUUAAAUGUUUAGCAUUUAUAGACCUGGUUGACUGUAGUUGUAUGUCAACAGCAUGGAUUAGGAAGUAUAGAUAGUUAGUGGUUCUUCACUAAUGAAUAAUGGGUCUUUUGAACAAAUUCAAAAUCAGACUGAUAUGGAAAGUAGGAAAAUGGUAUGACGACUUUUUCAUUCACAAAUGUUUCACUCCCUGUCACUGCUAAUAAUUUUUUGGCAAUUCCUUUCAUUGAAAAUGUUCAUGUCAUUCUGACAAGAAUAGACCUGGUCGAUUGUAGUAGUGUUCCUACAGCAUGGAUUAGGAAGUAUAUAUAGUUAGUGGUUCUUCACUGAUGAAAGGUUUAAUUGACUAUGUUAAACUUACUUAAAUGUUUAGCAUUUUUAGACCUGGUUGACUGUAGUUGUAUGCCAACAGCAUAGAUUAGGAAGUAAAGUUGAUGGUUAUAAAUGCAGAGUAAUAUGUAUUUUUUACUAGUUAAAUGUCAGAUUGAUACGGAAAGUAUGAUGAGAAACAUUGUAUGACGACUUUUUCAUUCGCAAAUGUUUCACUCCCUGUCACUGCUAAGUGUGGAAUUUUGGCAAUUCCUUUCAUUAAAAAUGUUCUUGUCAUUGUGACAAGAUUAGACCUGGUUGAUUGUAGUAGUGUUCCUACAGCAUGGAUUAGGAAAUAUAGUUGAUGAUUUUUGGACGCAGAGUAAUAUGUUUUUUGUACUAGUUCAAUGUCUGAUUGAUACGGAAAGUAUGAGUCUUCUGCCUCUUUUAAUUUAGCUUCUCCUAAAGAAGAUACAUGAUCUACUAAUUGGGUGAGUUUAUUUAAAUCCUAGGGCGUUAUUUUUUCAUCCAUUUUUACGAAUGUAACACCGUAUGACACCCAAUCUUCAUCUAAUUUUCAUUUCACAUUUAUGAGAAAAUAAUACAUCAUUACUUUAAAUGUGUUUAUAUUCAUUUUUGUCUUAUUUGAUUCUUUUCAUAAAGAUCAUCUUGCUGACGAUCACUCGUCUAUCUAUCUGAUUGUAGAAGUGUUCCAACAGCAUGGAUUACGAAGUACAUUUAAUGGUUUUUCACUGUUGAAUAAUAGGUCUUUUGAACAAAUUCAAAAUCAGACUGAUAUGGAAAGUAGGAAAAUGGUAUGACGACUUUUUCAUUCACAAAUGUUUCACUCCCUGUCACUGCUAAUAAUUUUUUGGCAAUUCCUUUCAUUGAAAAUGUUCAUGUCAUUCUGACAAGAAUAGACCUGGUUGAUUGUAGUAGUGUUCCUACAGCAUGGAUUAGGAAGUAUAUAUAGUUAGUGGUUCUUCACUGAUGAUAGGUUUAAUUGACUAUGUUAAACUUACUUAAAUGUUUAGCAUUUUUAGACCUGGUUGACUGUAGUUGUAUGCCAACAGCAUAGAUUAGGAAGUAUAGUUGAUGGUUAUAAAUGCAGAGUAAUAGGUCUUUUGAACAAAUUCAAAAUCAGACUGAUAUGGAAAGUAGGAAAAUGGUAUGACGACUUUUUCAUUCACAAAUGUUUCACUCCCUGUCACUGCUAAUAAUUUUUUGGCAAUUCCUUUCAUUAAAAAUGUUCUUGUCAUUGUGACAAGAAUAGACCUGGUUGAUUGUAGUAGUGUUCCUACAGCAUGGAUUAGGAAGUAUAUAUAGUUAGUGGUUCUUCACUGAUGAAAGGUUUAAUUGACUAUGUUAAACUUACUUAAAUGUUUAGCAUUUUUAGACCUGGUUGACUGUAGUUGUAUGUCAACAGCAUGGAUUAGGAAGUAUAGAUAGUUAGUGGUUCUUCACUAAUGACAGAUUUUAUUGACUAAGAUAAUCAUAGUUAAAUGUUUAGCAUUUAUAGACCUGGUUGACUGUAGUUGUAUGUCAACAGCAUGGAUUAGGAAGUAUAGAUAGUUAGUGGUUCUUCACUAAUGAAUAAUGGGUCUUCUGAACCAAUUCAAAAUCAGACUGGUAUGGAAAGUAGGAAUAUGGUCUGACGACUUUCUCAUUCGCAGAUUUUUCACACUCUGUCACUGCUAUUAAUUUUUUGGCAAUUCCUUUCAUUAAAAAUGUUCUUGUCAUUGUGACAAGAAUAGACCUGGUUGAUUGUAGUAGUGUUCCUACAGCAUGGAUUAGGAAGUAUAUAUAGUUAGUGGUUCUUCACUGAUGAAAGGUUUAAUUGACUAUGUUAAACUUACUUAAAUGUUUAGCAUUUUUAGACCUGGUUGACUGUAGUUGUAUGUCAACAGCAUGGAUUAGGAAGUAUAGAUAGUUAGUGGUUCUUCACUAAUGACAGAUUUUAUUGACUAAGAUAAUCAUAGUUAAAUGUUUAGCAUUUAUAGACCUGGUUGACUGUAGUUGUAUGUCAACAGCAUGGAUUAGGAAGUAUAGAUAGUUAGUGGUUCUUCACUAAUGAAUAAUGGGUCUUCUGAACCAAUUCAAAAUCAGACUGGUAUGGAAAGUAGGAAUAUGGUCUGACGACUUUCUCAUUCGCAGAUUUUUCACACUCUGUCACUGCUAUUAAUUUUUUGGCAAUUCCUUUCAUUAAAAAUGUUCUUGUCAUUGUGACAAGAAUAGACCUGGUUGAUUGUAGUAGUGUUCCUACAGCAUGGAUUAGGAAGUAUAUAUAGUUAGUGGUUCUUCACUGAUGAAAGGUUUAAUUGACUAUGUUAAACUUACUUAAAUGUUUAGCAUUUUUAGACCUGGUUGACUGUAGUUGUAUGUCAACAGCAUGGAUUAGGAAGUAUAGAUAGUUAGUGGUUCUUCACUAAUGACAGAUUUUAUUGACUAAGAUAAUCAUAGUUAAAUGUUUAGCAUUUAUAGACCUGGUUGACUGUAGUUGUAUGUCAACAGCAUGGAUUAGGAAGUAUAGAUAGUUAGUGGUUCUUCACUAAUGAAUAAUGGGUCUUCUGAACCAAUUCAAAAUCAGACUGAUAUGGAAAGUAGGAAAAUGGUAUGACGACUUUUUCAUUCACAAAUGUUUCACUCCCUGUCACUGCUAAUAAUUUUUUGGCAAUUCCUUUCAUUGAAAAUGUUCAUGUCAUUCUGACAAGAAUAGACCUGGUUGAUUGUAGUAGUGUUCCUACAGCAUGGAUUAGGAAGUAUAUAUAGUUAGUGGUUCUUCACUGAUGAUAGGUUUAAUUGACUAUGUUAAACUUACUUAAAUGUUUAGCAUUUUUAGACCUGGUUGACUGUAGUUGUAUGCCAACAGCAUAGAUUAGGAAGUAUAGUUGAUGGUUAUAAUUGAGAGUAAUAUGUUUUUUUUACUAGUUAAAUGUCAGAUUGAUACGGAAAGUAUGAUGAGAAACAUUGUAUGACGACUUUUUCAUUCGCAAAUGUUUCACUCCCUGUCACUGCUAAUAAUUUUUUGGCAAUUCCUUUCAUUAAAAAUGUUCUUGUCAUUGUGACAUAAUGCGAGAAUGCAUAUGCCAUGAUCUUAGCAUUGACGGUUUUAUUGACUACGUUAAUCAUACAUAAAUGUUUAGCAUUUUUAGACCUGGUUGACUGUAGUUGUAUGUCAACAGCAUGGAUUAGGAAGUAUAGAUAGUUAGUGGUUCUUCACUAAUGACAGAUUUUAUUGACUAAGAUAAUCAUAGUUAAAUGUUUAGCAUUUAUAGACCUGGUUGACUGUAGUUGUAUGUCAACAGCAUGGAUUAGGAAGUAUAGAUAGUUAGUGGUUCUUCACUAAUGAAUAAUGGGUCUUCUGAACCAAUUCAAAAUCAGACUGGUAUGGAAAGUAGGAAUAUGGUCUGACGACUUUCUCAUUCGCAGAUUUUUCACACUCUGUCACUGCUAUUAAUUUUUUGGCAAUUCCUUUCAUUAAAAUGUUCUUGUCAUUGUGACAAGAAUAGACCUGGUUGAUUGUAGUAGUGUUCCUACAGCAUGGAUUAGGAAGUAUAAAUAGUUAGUGGUUCUUCACUGAUGAAAGGUUUAAUUGACUAUGUUAAACUUACUUAAAUGUUUAGCAUUUUUAGACCUGGUUGACUGUAGUUGUAUGUCAACAGCAUGGAUUAGGAAGUAUAGAUAGUUAGUGGUUCUUCACUAAUGACAGAUUUUAUUGACUAAGAUAAUCAUAGUUAAAUGUUUAGCAUUUAUAGACCUGGUUGACUGUAGUUGUAUGUCAACAGCAUGGAUUAGGAAGUAUAGAUAGUUAGUGGUUCUUCACUAAUGAAUAAUGGGUCUUCUGAACCAAUUCAAAAUCAGACUGAUAUGGAAAGUAGGAAAAUGGUAUGACGACUUUUUCAUUCACAAAUGUUUCACUCCCUGUCACUGCUAAUAAUUUUUUGGCAAUUCCUUUCAUUGAAAAUGUUCAUGUCAUUCUGACAAGAAUAGACCUGGUUGAUUGUAGUAGUGUUCCUACAGCAUGGAUUAGGAAGUAUAUAUAGUUAGUGGUUCUUCACUGAUGAUAGGUUUAAUUGACUAUGUUAAACUUACUUAAAUGUUUAGCAUUUUUAGACCUGGUUGACUGUAGUUGUAUGCCAACAGCAUAGAUUAGGAAGUAUAGUUGAUGGUUAUAAAUGCAGAGUAAUAGGUCUUUUGAACAAAUUCAAAAUCAGACUGAUAUGGAAAGUAGGAAAAUGGUAUGACGACUUUUUCAUUCACAAAUGUUUCACUCCCUGUCACUGCUAAUAAUUUUUUGGCAAUUCCUUUCAUUGAAAAUGUUCAUGUCAUUCUGACAAGAAUAGACCUGGUUGAUUGUAGUAGUGUUCCUACAGCAUGGAUUAGGAAGUAUAUAUAGUUAGUGGUUCUUCACUGAUGAAAGGUUUAAUUGACUAUGUUAAACUUACUUAAAUGUUUAGCAUUUUUAGACCUGGUUGACUGUAGUUGUAUGCCAACAGCAUAGAUUAGGAAGUAUAGUUGAUGGUUAUAAUUGAGAGUAAUAUGUUUUUUUUACUAGUUAAAUGUCAGAUUGAUACGGAAAGUAUGAUGAGAAACAUUGUAUGACGACUUUUUCAUUCGCAAAUGUUUCACUCCCUGUCACUGCUAAUAAUUUUUUGGCAAUUCCUUUCAUUAAAAAUGUUCUUGUCAUUGUGACAUAAUGCGAGAAUGCAUAUGCCAUGAUCUUAGCAUUGACGGUUUUAUUGACUACGUUAAUCAUACAUAAAUGUUUAGCAUUUUUAGACCUGGUUGACUGUAGUUGUAUGUCAACAGCAUGGAUUAGGAAGUAUAGAUAGUUAGUGGUUCUUCACUAAUGACAGAUUUUAUUGACUAAGAUAAUCAUAGUUAAAUGUUUAGCAUUUAUAGACCUGGUUGACUGUAGUUGUAUGUCAACAGCAUGGAUUAGGAAGUAUAGAUAGUUAGUGGUUCUUCACUAAUGAAUAAUGGGUCUUCUGAACCAAUUCAAAAUCAGACUGGUAUGGAAAGUAGGAAUAUGGUCUGACGACUUUCUCAUUCGCAGAUUUUUCACACUCUGUCACUGCUAUUAAUUUUUUGGCAAUUCCUUUCAUUAAAAAUGUUCUUGUCAUUGUGACAAGAAUAGACCUGGUUGAUUGUAGUAGUGUUCCUACAGCAUGGAUUAGGAAGUAUAUAUAGUUAGUGGUUCUUCACUGAUGAAAGGUUUAAUUGACUAUGUUAAACUUACUUAAAUGUUUAGCAUUUUUAGACCUGGUUGACUGUAGUUGUAUGUCAACAGCAUGGAUUAGGAAGUAUAGAUAGUUAGUGGUUCUUCACUAAUGACAGAUUUUAUUGACUAAGAUAAUCAUAGUUAAAUGUUUAGCAUUUAUAGACCUGGUUGACUGUAGUUGUAUGUCAACAGCAUGGAUUAGGAAGUAUAGAUAGUUAGUGGUUCUUUACUAAUGAAUAAUGGGUCUUCUGAACCAAUUCAAAAUCAGACUGAUAUGGAAAGUAGGAAAAUGGUAUGACGACUUUUUCAUUCACAAAUGUUUCACUCCCUGUCACUGCUAAUAAUUUUUUGGCAAUUCCUUUCAUUGAAAAUGUUCAUGUCAUUCUGACAAGAAUAGACCUGGUUGAUUGUAGUAGUGUUCCUACAGCAUGGAUUAGGAAGUAUAUAUAGUUAGUGGUUCUUCACUGAUGAAAGGUUUAAUUGACUAUGUUAAACUUACUUAAAUGUUUAGCAUUUUUAGACCUGGUUGACUGUAGUUGUAUGCCAACAGCAUAGAUUAGGAAGUAAAGUUGAUGGUUAUAAAUGCAGAGUAAUAUGUCUUUUUUACUAGUUAAAUGUCAGAUUGAUACGGAAAGUAUGAUGAGAAACAUUGUAUGACGACUUUUUCAUUCGCAAAUGUUUCACUCCCUGUCACUGCUAAUAAUUUUUUGGCAAUUCCUUUCAUUAAAAAUGUUCUUGUCAUUGUGACAAGAUUAGACCUGGUUGAUUGUAGUAGUGUUCCUACAGCAUGGAUUAGGAAGUAUAGUUGAUGAUUUUUGGACGCAGAGUAAUAUGUUUUUUGUACUAGUUCAAUGUCUGAUUGAUACGGAAAGUAUGAGUCUUCUGCCUCUUUUAAUUUAGCUUCUCC